CGGCGGACGGGUGAGUAACGCGUGGGUAACCUGCCUCAUACAGGGGGAUAACAGUUGGAAACGGCUGCUAAUACCGCAUAAGCGCACAGUACCGCAUGGUACGGUGUGAAAAACUCCGGUGGUAUGAGAUGGACCCGCGUCUGAUUAGGUAGUUGGUGGGGUAACGGCUUACCAAGCCGACGAUCAGUAGCCGACCUGAGAGGGUGACCGGCCACAUUGGGACUGAGACACGGCCCAA
rnacentral:rRNA from 1 species